rnacentral:rRNA from 1 species
AGGCGUAGGAAAUUUGAGAAGACCUGUCCUUAGUACGAGAGGACCGGGAUGGACGUACCUCUGGUGUACCAGUUGUCCUGCCAAGGGCAUGGCUGGGUAGCUAUGUGCGGAAUGGAUAAGCGCUGAAAGCAUCUAAGCGCGAAGCCAACUUCAAGAUAAGAUUUCCCACCGCAAGGGUAAGACCCCAGAAAGACUAUCUGGUUGAUAGGUCGA